AGAUUAUUUUUACUUUAUUUUAUGUGUAUUAAAAAAAAAAACAAAUGAGGCUUUAAUGUGUUUAUUAGUUAAGCGCAGUGGGGAUUAAGCUUCAGUGGAUUUGCAUGCCAGUUUCCCAUAAAAUCCUGCUUCAGAGCGUUUCAGCCCUUUGUGGAGUGUAAAUUUGAAAUGUGUUCUGAGAUUUUUAGCAUAUAAAUCAAAAACCGAGUCACACAGCCACAGCCAUGGCGUGUGCUCAAUCAUUUGCAUGUCAAAGGCGCAUUAGAAUUGAAUGUUAGUUGCAGACAGUCCGUCGAUUUCCUUAGUUAUGUUUUACUCGGUUAUAAUAGGAGCAGGGAGGUCUAAUGAUGGGUUAGCUUAGAUCU
rnacentral:lncRNA from 1 species